AACGAACGCUGGCGGCAGGCCUAACACAUGCAAGUCGAACGCUGUAGCAAUACAGAGUGGCAGACGGGUGAGUAACGCGUGGGAACCUACCCUUUGGUUCGGAAUAGCUCAGGGAAACUUGAGGUAAUACCGGAUACGCCCUUCGGGGGAAAGAUUUAUCGCCAAAGGAUGGGCCCGCGUCGGAUUAGCUAGUUGGUGGGGUAAUGGCCUACCAAGGCGACGAUCCGUAGCUGGUCUGAGAGGAUGAUCAGCCACACUGGGACUGAGACACGGCCCAGACUCCUACGGGAGGCAGCAGUGGGGAAUAUUGGACGAUGGGCGCAAGCCUGAUCCGGCCAUGCCGCGUGAGUGACGAAGGUCUUCGGAUUGUAAAGCUCUUUUGGCGGGGAAGAUAAUGACGGUACCCGCAGAAUAAGCACCGGCUAAUUCUGUGCCAGCCGCCGCCUUAACAC
rnacentral:rRNA from 1 species